rnacentral:rRNA from 1 species
GAACUUUCCAGAGAUGGGAUUGGUGCCUUCGGGGAACUUAGAUACAGGUGCUGCAUGGCUGUCGUCAGCUCGUGUCGUGAGAUUGGUUGGGUUAAGUCCCCGCAACGAGCGCAACCCUUUUCCUUAUUUGCCAGCGGGUUAAGCCGGGAACUUUAAGGAUACUGCCAGUGACAAACUGGAGGAAGGCGGGGACGACGUCAAGUCAUCAUGGCCCUUACGGCCAGGGCUACACACGUGCUACAAUGGUCGGUACAAAGGGUUGCUACCUCGCGAGAGGAUGCUAAUCUCAAAAAGCCGAUCGUAGUCCGGAUCGCAGUCUGCAACUCGACUGCGUGAAGUCGGAAUCGCUAGUAAUCGCGGAUCAGAAUGCCGCGGUGAAUACGUUCCCGGGCCUUGUACACACCGCCCGUCACACCAUGGGAGUUUGUUGCACCAGAAGUAGGUAGUCUAACCGCAAGGAGGACGCUUACCACGGUGUGGCCGAUGACUGGGGUGAAGUCGUAACAAGGUAAGCGUAGAUGA